UUAGAUUUUAUUUAUUAAUUUUAUUUAUUUAAAAAUAAAUUAUUAAAAAUAAUUUUUUAGGAAAAAGUUUUAGUAUUGUUUAAAGAAAAAAUAAAUUUAAUUAUAGUUAAAUAGUAUUGUAAAAGAAAAUUGAAAUAUUUUGAAAAAUUUUUAUUAAAAAAGAAAAUUUAAUUUAUUGUACCUU
rnacentral:rRNA from 1 species